GUCUAUAACCAUACUGCCCUGAAUGCAUCUGAUCUCAUCUGAUCUUGGAAGCUAAGCAUGGUACUUGGAUGGAAGACAGGAAUGGGUUUUCCAGGGCAUGUUGGCA
rnacentral:rRNA from 1 species